rnacentral:rRNA from 1 species
UAAUACAGAGGGUGCGAGCGUUAAUCGGAAUUACUGGGCGUAAAGCGCGCGUAGGCGGCUUAUUAAGUCAGAUGUGAAAUCCCCGGGCUCAACCUGGGAACUGCAUCUGAUACUGGUAAGCUAGAGUUUUGGAGAGGGAAGUAGAAUUUCAGGUGUAGCGGUGAAAUGCAUAGAGAUCUGAAGGAAUACCAGUGGCGAAGGCGACUUCCUGGCCAAAAACUGACGCUGAGGUGCGAAAGCGUGGGUAGCAAACGGGAUUAGAUACCCCGGUAGUCCACGCCGUAAACGAUGUCAACUAGUCGUUGGACCCCUUGAGGGUUUAGUGACGCAGCUAACGCAUUAAGUUGACCGCCUGGGGAGUACGGUCGCAAGACUA